GAUGAACGCUGGCGGCGUGCCUAAUACAUGCGAGUCGAGCGAACGGACGAGAAGCUUGCUUCUCUGAUGUUAGCGGCGGACGGGUGAGUAACACGUGGAUCACCUACCUCUAAGACUGGGAUAACUUCGGGAAACCGGAGCCAAUACCGGAUAAUAUUUUGAACCGCAUGGAUCAAAAGUGAAAGACGGUCUUGCUGUCACUUAUAGAUGGAUCCGCGCUGCAUUAGCUAGUUGGUAAGGUAACGGCUUACCAAGGCAACGAUGCAUAGCCGACCUGAGAGGGUGAUCGGCCACACUGGAACUGAGACACGGUCCAGACUCCUACGGGAGGCAGCAGUAGGGAAUCUUCCGCAAUGGGCGAAAGCCUGACGGAGCAACGCCGCGUGAGUGAUGAAGGUCUUCGGAUCGUAAAACUCUGUUAUUAGGGAAGAACAUAUGUGUAAGUAACUGUGCACAUCUUGACGGUACCUAAUCAGAAAGCCACGGCUAACUACGUG
rnacentral:rRNA from 1 species